AAGUCGUAACAAGGUCUCCGUUGGUGAACCAGCGGAGGGAUCAUUACCGAGUUUACAACUCCCAAACCCCUGUGAACAUACCAAUUGUUGCCUCGGCGGAUCAGCCCGCUCCCGGUAAAACGGGACGGCCCGCCAGAGGACCCCUAAACUCUGUUUCUAUAUGUAACUUCUGAGUAAAACCAUAAAUAAAUCAAAACUUUCAACAACGGAUCUCUUGGUUCUGGCAUCGAUGAAGAACGCAGCAAAAUGCGAUAAGUAAUGUGAAUUGCAGAAUUCAGUGAAUCAUCGAAUCUUUGAACGCACAUUGCGCCCGCCAGUAUUCUGGCGGGCAUGCCUGUUCGAGCGUCAUUUCGACCCUCAAGCCCAGCUUGGUGUUGGGACUCGCGAGUCAAAUCGCGUUCCCCAAAUUGAUUGGCGGUCACGUCGAGCUUCCAUAGCGUAGUAGUAAAACCCUCGUUACUGGUAAUCGUCGCGGCCACGCCGUUAAACCCCAACUUCUGAAUGUUGACCUCGGAUCAGGUAGGAAUACCCGCUGAACUUAAGCAUAUCA
rnacentral:rRNA from 1 species